UAAUAGUCAUCUGUGUUUAUUUCACAAACCAACUACUAACACACAACUAUAACUUGACUAAAGAAAAAGAAGAGUUACUUACACACAAUUAUAACUUGACUAAAGAAAGACAGAGAUUACUUACAAAAUACAGCGAUUUACUAAAGCAGAGCAGAAUCUUGACUGAAGAAAGUGAGAAAUUCAGAAACAAAAGUGAUGAACUCCACCGUGGCCUUUAUGAACAAGAUCAGCUGUCUGAUAACUUCAAAUGGAUUUACUACAACUUCAGUUUUUAUUACAUUUCAUCUGAUCAAAAGAGCUGGAGUGACAGCAGACGAGACUGUGAACAGAGAGGAGCAAAUCUGCUGAUUAUAAACAAUAAAGAGGAACGAGAGCUUUUGCAGAAGGCUAUAGCUGGUCAGUAUUAUUAUUGGAUUGGUCUAAGUCAGGAGGGAGAGGAGUGGAAAUGGGCUGAUGCCACUACAUUGACAUUAAGUUUCUGGAUAAAUGGACAUUCCAGACACAGUCAUACAUGUGCUGUAACAUCUGCAUCAGGAUGGGUUAGUUAUUCAUGUAAUGGGAACCAAAGAUGGAUCUGUGAGAAGAGAAUUGUACAGUCACUGAUCAUAUAAUAAAUAUGCAUGUACAGUAAAAUAAACUCAUAAAAACUUUUCUUUUUACACCAGCACCAGGUUAUG